rnacentral:rRNA from 1 species
CAGUCGCCGCGGGAAUACGGAGGAUCCAAGCGUUAUCCGGAAUCAUUGGGUUUAAAGGGUCCGUAGGCGGUCUUGUAAGUCAGUGGUGAAAGCCCAUCGCUCAACGGUGGAACGGCCAUUGAUACUGCAGGACUUGAAUUAUUGGGAAGUAACUAGAAUAUGUAGUGUAGCGGUGAAAUGCUUAGAGAUUACAUGGAAUACCAAUUGCGAAGGCAGGUUACUACCAAUUGAUUGACGCUGAUGGACGAAAGCGUGGGUAGCGAACAGGAUUAGAUACCCCCGUAGUCCCUGUCUCUUAUAC